GAAUGCUGACAUAAGUAACGAUAAAGCGGGUGAAAAGCCCGCUCGCCGGAAGACCAAGGGUUCCUGUCCAACGUUAAUCGGGGCAGGGUGAGUCGACCCCUAAGGCGAGGCCGAAAGGCGUAGUCGAUGGGAAACGGGUUAAUAUUCCCGUACUUGGUGUUACUGCGAAGGGGGGACGGAGAAGGCUAUGUUGGCCGGGCGACGGUUGUCCCGGUUUAAGCGUGUAGGUGUGUGUUCCAGGUAAAUCCGGUUCACUUUAACACUGAGGCGUGACGACGAGGCACUACGGUGCUGAAGCAACAAAUGCCCUGCUUCCAGGAAAAGCCUCUAAGCAUCAGGUAACAUCAAAUCGUACCCCAAACCGACACAGGUGGUCAGGUAGAGAAUACCAAGGCGCUUGAGAGAACUCGGGUGAAGGAACUAGGCAAAAUGGUGCCGUAACUUCGGGAGAAGGCACGCUGACACGUAGGUGAAGUGAUUUACUCAUGGAGCUGAAGUCAGUCGAAGAUACCAGCUGGCUGCAACUGUUUAUUAAAAACACAGCACUGUGCAAACACGAAAGUGGACGUAUACGGUGUGACGCCUGCCCGGUGCCGGAAGGUUAAUUGAUGGGGUCAGCGCAAGCGAAGCUCCUGAUCGAAGCCCCGGUAAACGGCGGCCGUAACUAUAACGGUCCUAAGGUAGCGAAAUUCCUUGUCGGGUAAGUUCCGACCUGCACGAAUGGCGUAAUGAUGGCCAGGCUGUCUCCACCCGAGACUCAGUGAAAUUGAACUCGCUGUGAAGAUGCAGUGUACCCGCGGCAAGACGGAAAGACCCCGUGAACCUUUACUAUAGCUUGACACUGAACAUUGAGCCUUGAUGUGUAGGAUAGGUGGGAGGCUUUGAAGUGUGGACGCCAGUCUGCAUGGAGCCGACCUUGAAAUACCACCCUUUAAUGUUUGAUGUUCUAACGUGGACCCGUUACCCGGGUUGCGGACAGUGUCUGGUGGGUAGUUUGACUGGGGCGGUCUCCUCCUAAAGAGUAACGGAGGAGCACGAAGGUUGGCUAAUCCUGGUCGGACAUCAGGAGGUUAGUGCAAUGGCAUAAGCCAGCUUGACUGCGAGCGUGACGGCGCGAGCAGGUGCGAAAGCAGGUCAUAGUGAUCCGGUGGUUCUGAAUGGAAGGGCCAUCGCUCAACGGAUAAAAGGUACUCCGGGGAUAACAGGCUGAUACCGCCCAAGAGUUCAUAUCGACGGCGGUGUUUGGCACCUCGAUGUCGGCUCAUCACAUCCUGGGGCUGAAGUAGGUCCCAAGGGUAUGGCUGUUCGCCAUUUAAAGUGGUACGCGAGCUGGGUUUAGAACGUCGUGAGACAGUUCGGUCCCUAUCUGCCGUGGGCGCUGGAGAACUGAGGGGGGCUGCUCCUAGUACGAGAGGACCGGAGUGGACGCAUCACUGGUGUUCGGGUUGUCAUGCCAAUGGCACUGCCCGGUAGCUAAAUGCGGAAGAGAUAAGUGCUGAAAGC
rnacentral:rRNA from 1 species